UACAGAGGUCCCGAGCGUUGUUCGGAUUCAUUGGGCGUAAAGGGUGCGUAGGUGGCGAGGUUAGUCAGGUGUGAAAUCUCGGGGCUCAACCCCGAAACUGCACUUGAUACUGCCUUGCUAGAGUACUGGAGAGGAGAUUGGAAUUUACGGUGUAGCAGUGAAAUGCGUAGAUAUCGUAAGGAAGACCAGUGGCGAAGGCGAAUCUCUGGACAGUUACUGACACUGAGGCACGAAGGCCAGGGGAGCAAACGGG
rnacentral:rRNA from 1 species